GCGGGUGUAGCUGAGUGGUAGAGCGCAUGCUUAGCGUGCAUGAGGUCCUGGGGUCAAUCCCCGGCACCUUCA
rnacentral:tRNA from 1 species